UGGCUACAGUCAAUAUGGAAACAUUACGCAGAGUAUUACCGAACAUAUUGCGGGCACGUCAGAUUUGCACGCCACCAGGGCAACAGCCUGGAGAUUUAGAACACAACUGCAGCACAGGAAGCGCAUGCCAUAACUUUACGACUGCGAGCCAGACAGUAAACAAACCGGACAGGAACCAAUGGGAGCUCAAGAUCAUCGCUGUGACAUUCGGAAAGGGCUGAAAACUGAGCACCGUGGUCCCGCCCACCAUUGACUUUGUUCAGCGGGCUGCUGGAAGAGGAGGUCACACACACACACACACACACACACACACACACACACAGAAGCAGCCGAAACUUUGGAUAGGAAAUGGUUUGUUUCUUCAUCAUCUGAAUAUGUCAGAGUAUCCUUUGAAGUGUUUUUAGUUCAGUUUGCCAAUAAUGUAGUGUUGCCAACAGGAAAUGUAGAAAUGGACUGUUUCACUGCAGGCUACAAAAACAUGUUACUGUUUAAUCAGACCGCAAGUGUUGCGAUUUAUGAUGCCAGGAAAAGUUUUCUAUUAUUUCAAAAUGUUGUAGUUAGGUAAAUCUUAUAGAUUCUAAACCUUGUACAGACUGCUUUGGUGAUACCACAUUUAACUAUGGACAUGCAAACAAGAUGAUGCAAACUGCAAAUUUAAUAAGACUUAGGCCUACUUUAUAUCCUAGUAAUCAAAUGCCCAAGAUAGACCGUAUUACAGAUGUUUUAGUUAACUUAAAAAUGAGUCUAUUUCUAAACAUCUCUUCAUCCUAAAAUAGGCUACACAGCACCUUCAGAAAGUGAGCCUGACUUAGAUACUGUCUUAUUACAGUCUAAUAGCUUAGUAACAUCCUUGCUGCAGUGUGGCUAACAAUAUAUAUAUAUCAUGGAGAGAGACAGACAGAAAGACAUGGAGCGUGUAUGAAGAAUCUGGCGACAUCAACCAUUAGGCAAAUGGGCCAGUAAAUGUUAUCUCCUUCGAACCAGUACAAAACAAACUUUGCCCCAUAAAAGGUAUACCUUACCAAGAACAUAAACACAACCAGUAACUGCUGUAAAUUGUUAUUUGAAGGACUUCUAAAGUCCCUUUUGUUACUUUGCAGGGCACACUUGUCUGUUCAGGACAAAGUUCAGGAGCUUCAUGGCAUUCUGCACUCAACAAACUCGCUUUCUUUUGUGUUCUGUGUAACAGAAAUAAAGUCAGUUGACCUAUAA